AGUAAAUAGAUACCCAGGUAGUCCACGCCGUAAACGAUGUCGACUUGGAGGUUGUGCCCUUGAGGCGUGGCUUCCGGAGCUAAACGCGUUAAGUCGACCGCCUGGGGAGUACGGCCGCAAGGUUAAAACUCAAAUGAAUUGACGGGGGCCCGCACAAGCGGUGGAGCAUGUGGUUUAAUUCGAUGCAACGCGAAGAACCUUACCUACUCUUGACAUCCAGAGAACUUUCCAGAGAUGGAUUGGUGCCUUCGGGAACUCUGAGACAGGUGCUGCAUGGCUGUCGUCAGCUCGUGUUGUGAAAUGUUGGGUUAAGUCCCGCAACGAGCGCAACCCUUAUCUUUUGUUGCCAGCGGUUAGGCCGGGAACUCAAAGGAGACUGCCAGUGAUAAACUGGAGGAAGGUGGGGAUGACGUCAAGUCAUCAUGGCCCUUACGAGUAGGGCUACACACGUGCUACAAUGGCGCAUACAAAGAGAAGCGACCUCGCGAGAGCAAGCGGACCUCAUAAAGUGCGUCGUAGUCCGGAUUGGAGU
rnacentral:rRNA from 1 species